rnacentral:rRNA from 1 species
GAUGAACGCUGGCGGCGUGCCUAAUACAUGCAAGUCGAGCGAACAGACGAGGAGCUUGCUCCUCUGACGUUAGCGGCGGACGGGUGAGUAACACGUGGAUAACCUACCUAUAAGACUGGGAUAACUUCGGGAAACCGGAGCUAAUACCGGAUAAUAUAUUGAACCGCAUGGUUCAAUAGUGAAAGACGGUUUUGCUGUCACUUAUAGAUGGAUCCGCGCCGCAUUAGCUAGUUGGUAAGGUAACGGCUUACCAAGGCAACGAUGCGUAGCCGACCUGAGAGGGUGAUCGGCAACACUGGAACUGAGACACGGUCCAGCCUCCUACGGGAGGCAGAAGUAGGGAAUCUUCCGCAAUGGGCGAAAGCCUGACGGAGCAACGCCGCGUGAGUGAUGAAGGUCUUCGGAUCGUAAAACUCUGUUAUUAGGGAAGAACAAAUGUGUAAGUAACUAUGCACGUCUUGACGGUACCUAAUCAGAAAGCCACGGCUAACUACGUG